rnacentral:rRNA from 1 species
UUACGGUCAAAUCACGCUGAAACACCGGUUCUCGUACGAUCACCGAAGUUAAGCAGCGUAGAGCCAGGUCAGUACUUAGAUGGGGUACCGCUUGGGAACACCUGGUACUGUAAG